rnacentral:lncRNA from 1 species
GGUAUCACAUACACAUUCACCUCAUUCUGCAUCCCCUUCUGGUACUGCAUCCGCUAGAGGGACAGGAUCUGCAUCAGCAUCUACUCCAUCAUCUGCUCCUGCAUCUGCUCCAGCAUCAGCUGCAUCGACCACUGCUGUAGGCGGAACACAGUCAUUCAGACAGACUAUUUCACUCAUUAACAACAAGUAAUAAUUAAUUGUUUAUUAAUUUACAAUAUUUUAAAUGUUACCAUUUACUUACUCUAAAAUUAUCUUGUUCAUGUAGUUUGCAUCCGUCGGAGAUGUGCAGCCGCAGGAUAACUCUGAUAGUGAAAGAAAGAUUGGUCGAGGAAGGCCACUGUUGGAAGAC